rnacentral:rRNA from 1 species
UAAUUGGAGAGUUUGAUCCUGGCUCAGAAUGAACGCUGGCGGCGUGCCUAACACAUGCAAGUCGAACGAGAAAUUCCCUGCUUGCAGGGGAGAGUAAAGUGGCGCACGGGUGAGUAACGCGUGAGUAACCUGUCCUUAAAUCUGGAAUAACUUCGCGAAAGCGAUGCUAAUACCGGAUAUUGUCUUUUAAACCCCGGUUUUUUAGAUGAAAGAUGACCUCUUCAUGAAAGUUGUCGUUUAAGGAGGGGCUCGCGUACCAUUAGCUUGUUGGUGGGGUAAUGGCCUACCAAGGCAACGAUGGUUAGCUGGUCUGAGAGGAUG